GCCCGGCGCCGCCCCCGGCCCCCGCGCCAGCCCCCGCCGCUGCGAGCCCCUUCCUCCCGCUCUUAAAGCGCACACUUCCUGCAGGCGCCGCCCCACGCGCCCCCCGCCCGAAUCAGAGCUUGGGGUUUGGGGCUUGGGACCGGGACCCAGAGCCAAGCUUCAGCUUUUGGAGAAGUUAAGUCCCAAGUGACCAGAUGAAAAAUGGCUCGCGAAGCAACAUGUGAAUUCGGGCAAGGAGAAUGGCGUUCAAGGGGUUAAUGAAGAGCUUGGUUGCCCAGAGUCUGCAGUGAGAAACACUGAAGAGAGACAAGAUGGCUUGGAGAUCACCUGAAGUCACUGACUCCUACUUAGAUCAAGAAGGUCCCAGGGUUUGAACUCGGGUUGUCAGGUUUACAUGGCAAGCUGAGUCAUCUUGCCUAUCACCAGCAUUUUCAUGUCACAGAAGAUGAACUGCACGGAAAAAAAUCACAGCAAUCAACAGCUGACUCAAAACAUGAGUCACAAAAAUUAAGAGAGAGCACCAUCUGAAUGGAGAGAGCACCAUCUGAAUGGAGAGAGCACCAUCUGAAUGGAGAGAGCACCAUCUGAAUGGAGAGAGCAAGCAAGGAGCGCUGUAUUUACAGAAAGGGUAAGCACAAGUGGCCCGGGCACCCGAGGAUCACGAUGGCUCUUCAGUUAGCUGUCAGCGCGCAAUAUAAAUCCUUGCUAUGUGAGCAAGUUGGAUCCAAUUCUUCAUCAAAGGUACUGUGCUCAUGGAGGCUGUCAGAUGCUCCCCGUCAAAUGAAUCCGCAUCCGCAGUCCAAAGGCCAGAGGAAAGGGGAUCGGCAGGGACAGAAGACAAACCUUCAGAAAUGCUGUGCAGAAAAGGCCGCCUUUCUGCCUAACAGGUCUCUCUCUUGCUGAAAGCAGCAGUAUGCAUUAUGUUUUUGAAAAUGAACUCCUGGGCCGCGAGACGGGGAGAAUCAAGUGCUGUGAAUGCGCAACAAUCUGAGUUUGAUCCUCAGAACCACAACAGAAGUAGAGGGCACACAACAAUAAAUUAAAUAAAUUAAUAAAUUAAUUUAUUGAUAAAUUAAUAAAAUGGAACUGUAAGAAAGAGGCUGGGGGUAAUAUUUUCUGGCCUACUUGAACAAUUCUAAAAUCAAUGUGAUCUUUUUUCUUCGAGAGGUUCUCAGCUUCUUUCCUCCUCUCUGAGUUCCGCUCCCUUUCCGGUGGAGCACGUCUCAUCGGAAGCACCGUGCCUCUGGCCAGG